GCCACAUCACAUUGAAAUACCGGUUCCCAUAUAAUCACUGAAGUUAAGCAAUGUUGAGUCUGGACACUACCUAGAUGAGUGACUGUUUGGGAAUACCAGGUGCUA